UCUGCUCCAAGCAUACAAUUUAACAAAACAAAUUCAGAAAACCAAGUCGGUCAGUUACGUCGGCCACCAAUGGCAUGGACUCAACAACAGCAGCUGCAGCAAUUAUUGCAGACUUCCAUUAACCAACAGCAGCCACCUUAUCCCCAACAGCCGCAGCCACAGCUGCAGCAGUCUAUUUCUCAAGAGCAACAUCAUGAGCAUCAGCAUCGACCACAACCACAACCACAACCACAGCAACAGCCGCAGCCACAGCUGCAGCCACAACAAAUACAACAACUGCCACCACAAUGGCAACAGCUUCAACAGC
rnacentral:lncRNA from 1 species